UACGAAGGGUGCAAACGUUGCUCGGAAUUAUUGGGCGUAAAGCGCACGUAGGCGGCUUUGCAAGUCGGAUGUGAAAUCCCUCGGCUUAACCAAGGAAGUGCAUCCGAAACUGCAGAGCUUGAGUACUUAAGAGGAUCGCGGAAUUCCCGGUGUAGAGGUGAAAUUCGUAGAUAUCGGGGAGGAACACCAGUGGCGAAGGCGGCGAUCUGGGAAGAUACUGACGCUGAGGUGCGAAAGCGUGGGGGAGCAAACAGG
rnacentral:rRNA from 1 species